UACAGAGGUGGCAAGCGUUGUUCGGAAUUACUGGGCGUAAAGGGCGCGUAGGCGGCCCACUAAGUCAGACGUGAAAUCCCUCGGCUUAACCGGGGAACUGCGUCUGAUACUGGAUGGCUUGAGUUCGGGAGAGGGAUGCGGAAUUCCAGGUGUAGCGGUGAAAUGCGUAGAUAUCUGGAGGAACACCGGUGGCGAAGGCGGCAUCCUGGACCAACACUGACGCUGAGGAGCGAAAGCCAGGGGAGCAAACGGG
rnacentral:rRNA from 1 species